AAGUCGUAACAAGGUCUCCGUAGGUGAACCUGCGGAGGGAUCAUUAUCGAGUGAGGGCGCCUCCGCGCCCGACCUCCAACCCUCUUGUCGAUCCAGUACCGUGUUGCCUCGGGGGCGACCCGACGUUCGCGUCGGGCGCCCCGAGUGGACCACCAUCGAAACACUGCAUUGUCAUGCGUCGGUUUAUUAUGAUGAAUCAAUCAAAACUUUCAACAACGGAUCUCUUGGUUCUGGCAUCGAUGAAGAACGCAGCGAAAUGCGAUAAGUAAUGUGAAUUGCAGAAUUCAGUGAAUCAUCGAAUCUUUGAACGCACAUUGCGCCCCUUGGCUAUUCCGAGGGGCAUGCCCGUUCGAGCGUCAUUUACACCACUCAAGCCUGGCUUGGUAUUGGGCGUCCGGGAUGCACCCGCGACCUCUAAUGUCUCGUUCGGCUGGAACACGGCUGGAAUCUCAGCGUUGUGCAAUCAAAUCCGCUCUGCAGGAACAUGGACUGGCCAUCGCGCCGUUGAAACAUCUCUAUCUACAGGUUGACCUCGGAUCGGGUAGGGAUACCCGCUGAACUUAA
rnacentral:rRNA from 1 species